rnacentral:lncRNA from 1 species
ACCCACUUUGGAGGCAGCCCCUGGACGGAAAUUAGCAGCUAUUCAAUUCCAGUUUUUUUUAUUCUUCUUUCUUUUCGCUAUUUAUUAUUUAUUUUUCUUGAUUUAUUUUUUGUAUGAGUUCUAGCUAAUUUCGUUUAUUCCGGCAACGAUUAGGGAAGCACUAGCAGAAUUAUUCUGUGAGAUCUAAUUGUUCUUAUACUUUAUUUUAUGCUUGUAUCUGCAAUUCUCCAUGUUUAAUGAUAUUAAUUGUUUUAAUCCAUUAGGUAGUUGCAAAUAUUUAUUGGGUUAGAAUUAAUUAUAUAGCCAAUUGAACCGGUCAUCCGUAAUUGUGGUUUAGGUUUGAUUAGUGGUAAAUUGACACAUCAGGGUCAAGGGAAAAGCAGUCUUAAUUCAAUAAUCCUGCGUCAGAGUUUAUUGGUUUUGAAUCGGGUUUCUCUAGAUAUUAAUGAUGUCGGCUCAUUAAACCUAUAGAGCGUCUCUUACGGUUGUCAGUCGAUUAGGGUAGUAAUUAGUGAAGCGUCUUC